AAAGUUAGUGAAGCUGCCUCCUCUGUGUUGUCUAACUCAUAGGUGCGCCACCAAUCAUAGACGGCCCCUCGAAGCUGGAAAGUAGUGAAAGUAACCCCGCUGGACUCCCAGAUACCCAUAGUACGGAGAAUGCAGUAACACUCAUCAAUAAACCCCAAGGCAUCGUUUGAUGUUAUACCACUGAACACCGGAGGACCAUAUUUCUUGAACCUCUCUAGUCUCAUCUGCUCCUCCUCGGAUGUCGCUGCCAUACCCUCGGGCUAAACUGGUGCUGCAGGCGGUGCAAGAAUAAUCUUAGGAACCUGCUCAACAUGCGCUCGCUGCUCAAGAGUGCGGGCGGCGGGAGUCUGUG
rnacentral:lncRNA from 1 species